rnacentral:rRNA from 1 species
UACGUAGGGUGCAAGCGUUAAUCGGAAUUACUGGGCGUAAAGCGUGCGCAGGCGGUUAUGUAAGACAGUUGUGAAAUCCCCGGGCUCAACCUGGGAACUGCAUCUGUGACUGCAUAGCUAGAGUACGGUAGAGGGGGAUGGAAUUCCGCGUGUAGCAGUGAAAUGCGUAGAUAUGCGGAGGAACACCGAUGGCGAAGGCAAUCCCCUGGACCUGUACUGACGCUCAAGCACGAAAGCGUGGGGAGCAAACAGG